rnacentral:rRNA from 1 species
GAAUUCACUAGUGAUUCAGGCCUAACACAUGCAAGUCGAGCGGUAGCACAGGGAGCUUGCUCCUGGGUGAAGAAAGGCGGACGGGUGAGUAAUGUCUGGGAAACUGCCUGAUGGAGGGGGAUAACUACUGGAAACGGUAGCUAAUACCGCAUAACGUCGCAAGACCAAAGAGGGGGACCUUCGGGCCUCUUGCCAUCAGAUGUGCCCAGAUGGGAUUAGCUAGUAGGUGGGGUAAUGGCUCACCUAGGCGACGAUCCCUAGCUGGUCUGAGAGGAUGACCAGCCACACUGGAACUGAGACACGGUCCAGACUCCUACGGGAGGCAGCAGUGGGGAAUAUUGCACAAUGGGCGCAAGCCUGAUGCAGAAAGGCCGCGUGUAUGAAGAAGGCCUUCGGGUUGUAAAGUAAUUGCAGCGGGGAGGAAGGUGUUGAGGUUAAUAACCUCAGCAAUUGACGUACCCGCAGA